rnacentral:rRNA from 1 species
GGGCGUAAAGCGAGCGCAGGUUGUUUAUUAAGUCUGGUGUAAAAGGCAGUGGCUCAACCAUUGUAUGCAUUGGAAACUGGUAAACUUGAGUGCAGGAGAGGAAAGUGGAAUUCCAUGUGUAGCGGUGAAAUGCGUAGAUAUAUGGAGGAACCCGGUGGCGAAAGCGGUCUCUGGCCUGUAACUGACACUGAGGCUCGAAAGCGUGGGAGCAAACAGGAAUAAAUACCCUGGUAGUCCACGCCGUAAACGAUGAGUGCUAGAUGUAGGGAGCUAUAAGUUCUCUGUAUCGCAGCUAACGCAAUAAGCACUCCGCCUGGGGAGUACGACCGCAAGGUUGAAACUCAAAGGAAUUGACGGGGCCCCACA